UAACGGAUACUGGGCGUAAGCGCACGCAGGCGGUAUUGUUAAGUUAGAUGUGAAUCCCGGAGCUCAACUCUGGAACUGCCUUUGAUACUGGCAGACUUGAGUCCGGGAGAGGUGAGUGGAAUUCCUAGUGUAGCGGUGAAAUGCGUAGAUAUUCGGAAGAACACCAGUGGCGAAGGCGACUCCCUGGCCCGAUACUGACGCUGAUGUGCGAAAGCGUGGGGAGCGAACAGGAUUAGAUACCCUGGUAGUCCACGCCGUAAACGAUGUCUACUAGCUGUCGGUGUGUUUGCGACUUGCUGGCGCAACUAAAGCCUUUAACUUCCCCCCUGGGGAGUACCGGCGCCAGAGUAAAACUCAAAGGGAUUU
rnacentral:rRNA from 1 species